AACGAACGCUGACGGCAUGCCUAACACAUGCAAGUCGAACGAGAUCUUCGGGUCUAGUGGCGCACGGGUGCGUUACGCGUGGGAAUCUGCCCUUUGGUUCGGAAUAACAGUUGGAAACGACUGCUAAUACCGGAUGAUGACGAAAGUCCAAAGAUUUAUCGCCAGAGGAUGAGCCCGCGUAGGAUUAGCUAGUUGGUGUGGUAAAGGCGCACCGAGGCGACGAUCCUUAGCUGGUCUGAGAGGAUGAUCAGCCACACUGGGACUGAGACACGGCCCAGACUCCUACGGGAGGCAGCAGUGGGGAAUACUGGACAAUGGGCGAAAGCUUGAUCCAGCAAUGCCGCGUGAGUGAUGAAGGCCUUAGGGUUGUAAAGCUCUUUUACCCGGGAUGAUAAUGACAGUACCGGGAGAAUAAGCUCCGGCUAACUCCGUGCCAGCCGCCGCGGUAA
rnacentral:rRNA from 1 species